rnacentral:rRNA from 1 species
GUGGAUUAGAUACCCUGGUAGUCCACGCCGUAAACGAUGAUAACUAGCUGUCCGGGUUCAUGGAACUUGGGUGGCGCAGCUAACGCAUUAAGUUAUCCGCCUGGGGAGUACGGUCGCAAGAUUAAAACUCAAAGGAAUUGACGGGGGCCUGCACAAGCGGUGGAGCAUGUGGUUUAAUUCGAAGCAACGCGCAGAACCUUACCAGCCUUUGACAUCCUGGUCGCGGAUUAGAGAGAUCUUUUCCUUCAGUUCGGCUGGACCAGUGACAGGUGCUGCACGGCCGUCGCCAGCU